UUGUCCUACGGGAGGCAGCAGUGGGGAAUUUUGGACAAUGGGCGCAAGCCUGAUCCAGCUAUUCCGCGUGUGGGAUGAAGGCCCUCGGGUUGUAAACCACUUUUGUAGAGAACGAAAAGACACCUUCGAAUAAAGGGUGUUGCUGACGGUACUCUAAGAAUAAGCACCGGCUAACUACGUGCCAGCAGCCGCGGUAAUACGUAGGGUGCGAGCGUUAAUCGGAAUUACUGGGCGUAAAGGGCGCGUAGGCGGUAAUAUAAGUCAGAUGUGAAAGGUGGGGGCUCAACCCCUAGAGUGCAACUGAU
rnacentral:rRNA from 1 species